AUGAACGCUAGCUACAGGCUUAACACAUGCAAGUCGAGGGGCAGCAUGACCUAGCAAUAGGUUGAUGGCGACCGGCGCACGGGUGAGUAACACGUAUCCAACCUGCCGAUUAUUCCGGGAUAGCCUUUCGAAAGAAAGAUUAAUACUGGAUAGCAUAACGAGAAGGCAUCUUCUUGUUAUUAAAGAAUUUCGAUAAUCGAUGGGGAUGCGUUCCAUUAGUUUGUUGGCGGGGUAACGGCCCACCAAGACAUCGAUGGAUAGGGGUUCUGAGAGGAAGGUCCCCCACAUUGGAACUGAGACACGGUCCAAACUCCUACGGGAGGCAGCAGUGAGGAAUAUUGGUCAAUGGACGAGAGUCUGAACCAGCCAAGUAGCGUGAAGGAUGACUGCCCUAUGGGUUGUAAACUUCUUUUAUAUGGGAAUAAAGUGCAGUAUGUAUACUGUUUUGUAUGUACCAUACGAAUAAGGAUCGGCUAACUCCGUGCCAGCAGCCGCGGUAAUACGGAGGAUCCGAGCGUUAUCCGGAUUUAUUGGGUUUAAAGGGAGCGUAGGCGGAUUAUUAAGUCAGUUGUGAAAGUUUGCGGCUCAACCGUAAAAUUGCAGUUGAUACUGGUAGUCUUGAGUGCAGCAGAGGUAGGCGGAAUUCGUGGUGUAGCGGUGAAAUGCUUAGAUAUCACGAAGAACUCCGAUUGCGAAGGCAGCUUACUGGACUGUAACUGACGCUGAUGCUCGAAAGUGUGGGUAUCAAACAGGAUUAGAUACCCUGGUAGUCCACACCGUAAACGAUGAUUACUAGGUGUUGGAGGAUUGACCCCUUCAGUGCCGCAGUUAACACAAUAAGUAAUCCACCUGGGGAGUACGGCCGCAAGGUUGAAACUCAAAGGAAUUGACGGGGGCCCGCACAAGCAGUGGAGUAUGUGGUUUAAUUCGAAGCAACGCGAAGAACCUUACCAGGUCUUGACAUCCACUUAAACUUACAGAGAUGUAAGGUGUGCUUGCACAAAGUGAGACAGGUGGUGCAUGGUUGUCGUCAGCUCGUGUCGUGAGAUGUUGGGUUAAGUCCCGCAACGAGCGCAACCCUUAUCUUUAGUUACUAACAGGUCAUGCUGAGGACUCUAGAGAGACUGCCGUCGUAAGAUGUGAGGAAGGUGGGGAUGACGUCAAAUCAGCACGGCCCUUACGUCCGGGGCUACACACGUGUUACAAUGGGGGGUACAGAAGGCAGCUACACGGCGAUGUGAUGCUAAUCCCAAAAGCCUCUCUCAGUUCGGAUUGGAGUCUGCAACCCGACUCCAUGAAGCUGGAUUCGCUAGUAAUCGCGCAUCAGCCACGGCGCGGUGAAUACGUUCCCGGGCCUUGUACACACCGCCCGUCAAGCCAUGAAAGCCGGGGGUACCUGAAGUACGUAACCGCAAGGAGCGUCCUAGGGUAAAACUGGUAAUUGGGGCU
rnacentral:rRNA from 1 species